rnacentral:rRNA from 1 species
UACGUAGGGUGCGAGCGUUAAUCGGAAUUACUGGGCGUAAAGCGUGCGCAGGCGGUUUUGUAAGCCAGAUGUGAAAUCCCCGGGCUUAACCUGGGAAUGGCAUUUGGGACUGCAAGGCUCGAGUGCGGCAGAGGAGACUGGAAUUCCUGGUGUAGCAGUGAAAUGCGUAGAGAUCGGGAAGAACAUCGGUGGCGAAAGCGCUCUACUGGACCGCAACUGACACUCAGGGACGAAAGCUAGGGGAGCGAAUGGG